AUGGCGGAACACUUCCCCGGAGACGAGGCGGCGGCCAACGGCUUCGGCUGUUGUUCGCUCCGCGAACAGGAGUCCUGGCUCCUGUUCCAGGCGAACAUCCCAGCGCCGCCGGACAUGCGCGCCGGGCCGACGGGGUGGAGGCUCAGCGCCGGGGGAGUGCCCAUUCCCCCGUUGCCCGAUGCCGUGGCGAAGCCGAAGUACUUCGCCGAGGAAGUCGAGGUCGUGCGCGCCUCCCUCACCGACGCCCAACUCUCCCUCCCCCAGUACGCCGCCGACAACCACGCGGCUUGGGCGGCGUAUUUCGAGCGCCGCCAGCAGCAGCGCUUGGCGUCCAUCAACGACGCGCCGGUGGUUGGUGGCCGGCAGAACAGCGAGGGGCGCCACCUGUGGUGGGGCGUCCCCGGCCGCACACUCGAGGGCGUGCUGACGUACCUCGAGGGCGGCAACGACCCGCCGUUGGCGUACCCGGCGAGGGCGGCCGCCCCGGCGCAGCACCGACGCGCCGGGCCAUGGGCGCCAAGGAGGUUCGGGUCCUCCUCCUCUUCUUCCUCCUCCCGAUCUUCAUCGCACUCCUCCGGCACUCCAGCCCUGCUCGGCGUCAAGGUCGAGCCCGCGGCGGAGACGCCGCUCGGCCGGCGCACUCGCAGCACCGGCAUCAUCUUCAACGAGGGCGGCCGGCGCACCUACUCGUCGGCUCCUCCUUCGCGCUUCGUCAAGCCAAAGACGGAGCCGGGGCUCGCGCCAGUGAAGACGAAGCCGGGGCUCGCGCCGGUGAAGAAGGAGCCGGCCGCGCCGGUGACGACGGAGCUCGACGACGACGACGCGGCCCUCGAAUGGGCGCGCAGGGACUCCAUAGCGAUGGAGAAGGAGCGCCUGGAGAAGGCGACGGAGCGCCAGUGCGCCGCCCUGCUUCGCUUCGCGGAGCGUCGACGCGGCCGCGACAAAGGCGGAGUCGUCGUCAUUUGGGACAGCGACGACGACGACGACGAUGCGCCGCCACCAGUCCGCCAUGGCGACGCCGGGCAGGGGUCCAGCAGGGGCGCCCGCGUCAAGGAGGAGAAGGCCGACGACGAUGAUGGCGGCGACGGCGGCGACUUCAGCCAGUUUUUCCUUUAG
rnacentral:rRNA from 1 species